CACCUUGAAUUAUUUAUAAAAAUAAUAAAAGUGGGAUACAAAUAAAUAAAUAUAAAUAGAUAAAAUGGAAUUUACUUGCUGAAUCUUCAAUGCCUCUGCAACAGACAGAGUCAGGCCAGUGUUUCUCAACCUUGACCUCUUGAAGAUGGGUGGACUUCAAUUCCCAGAAUUCCCCAGCCAACUUUGAAGUCCACCCAUCUUCUAGAGGUCAAGGUCAAGUAACAGAUUACCAAUCUGCUGGUUUGCAUUGUGGUGGUGAGCUCUUUGUAUUUUCUCUCUAGGGGAUUUAAAUCUUUCUACUCCUCCUCCUAGUAACAGAAAUAGCAUCUGUACAGAUGAUGAAAAUAUGUAUUUAACUAUGAGUCACCUUUCUGUUCUGUGGCACCAACAAUGAUCCUUCAUUUAUGCAGGUUUACUAAAACGGAUAUUUGUUUGGAAAUACAUGAAAUUCAAAUGCUAACAAGGACUGACGAAUACAAACAUCGUCGAGAUUGCUUUUCUGAUUAAAUGGCUUCUUUCCAUUUUGCAGUCUGAAAGUGCUUGUCCAGGAAGCGAUGAAGACAAAAGGAAGGUGGUAGCUUUUCUUUUUAGUGACGCAAAUUUUGUGACACACACACACACGGGAAUCAUAAAUGAUUUAAUGGGUUUUUUUGAGGAAGUACACACACCAUUCAUUUUAAUUAAUAUGCAGUAUUUUCCCUAGCUCUUAUUUAUCUACACAUCCUCCACAGUCCAGUUACCUUUUGAAGAAAAAAACACCUUUGAGACUGAGACAGUCUUUGUGCAUCUGCACUGAUUUGUGUUAAUAAAUGUUUUUUUUUUUAAUAAAGAGGAAUAGCUUUGAAAUAAAUUGAGAUUAAUGGGCAGGAUGAUAGGCUUGUAUAGUGUUGCAGUGGAUUUCCCCUGGAGGCUCAAGAUGUGUGAUUCACUUGGGAUCAAUUUACUGCAGGCAUGUAAUAGUUUCAGUGGUUUUCCACUGCUGAAAAUAGCCCCCUUUCCAAGCUUUUAUGUUAAUAAACAAGCAGGAAGAGGAACCCCUUUGCACAUAUCACCAAUUAGGCACUAGGUGAUGCCAAUAAAAUCACACCAGUGUAUCUCAAGUGCUCUCCAGCCAGCCUUGAAUUAUC